rnacentral:rRNA from 1 species
CAGUCGCCGCGGUAAGACAGAGGGUGCAAACGUUGUUCGGAAUUACUGGGCGUAAAGCGUGUGUAGGCGGCUUCGCAAGUCGGAUGUGAAAGCCCCGGGCUCAACCCGGGAAGUGCACUCGAUACUGCGGAGCUAGAGUGUCGGAGAGGUUGGUGGAAUUCUCGGUGUAGAGGUGAAAUUCGUAGAUAUCGAGAGGAACACCGGUGGCGAAGGCGGCCAACUGGACGAACACUGACGCCGAGACACGAAAGCGUGGGGAGCAAACAGGAUUAGAUACCCCGGUAGUCCCUGUCUCUUAUAC